GGAGAGCAGGGGAUACAGAAAAAAGAUAGGAAGAAAUAAUGGCGGACCAUUUUGCAAAUUUGAUAAAAACCAUAUACCCACAUGUUGUGUGAUGGGUCCUUUACCAGAUUACUUAAAGGUACAUAUGUUCACUGCCUGAAACCUGAAGGCUAGGCCCAUGGCAAUGGUACCCAGCUGAGGAGCAGGUAUCCCUGAGAACCAACCAAACAUCCCAGAGAGUAUCUGAGAAUCUCUCAAGAAAAACAGUAUCAUUGUUCAAACACAGUAGGCAAAGAUCCAGAAAAUUAGCUUAAAAGCAGUUUAGAGGGAGCCGGGUACAGUGGCUCACGCCUGUCAUGCCAGUUUGGGAGGCUGAGGAGGGCGAUCACUUGAGUCCAGGAGUCUGAGACCAGCCUAAGCAACAUGGCAAAACACCCCAUGUCUAAAAACAAACAAACAAAAAAUGCGGUUUAGAGACAGGAGGCAGCGUGGAUCUCUAGAGCUGUCCUGCUGCCGUCCAGGAGUGCCUUGUAUGUAAGUUGAAUAAACUCGUCUACUCAUCAAGUUAAAUUUGUCUGAGUCAUUCUUUGGUCUCAUGGCUCCUUCCCAGUUUAGAUGGGACGUUGCAGUCCCAAGUUUUUCUUGUAACAUCACAAAUCUAAGAAUCUCUAAGAAUCCCAAACAUGAGAAAGAAGAAGAGAAGUACAUCAAAGAAUACCCAGUCAAAUCGCUCAAAACUCAAGAUACAGAGAAAAAUCUUUAGAGUGGCUAGAGCUUGGUGGAGCUCAGUAAAGUGAGAAGAAGAUAUGUUAUACAGAGGAACAAAGACAAGGAUUAUAGCAGAUUUCUCGUUGGAAACAAUGCAAGAAGACAGCAGAGCAAUAUAUUUAAAUUAUGGAAGAUAUGGGCCAGGCGUGGUGGCUCACGCCCGUAAUCCCACAAAAAUAUUUUUAAAAGACAGAGGUAAAAAAUAAAUACUUUUUCAAACAAAAAAACUAAAUAAAAUUCUCAACAGCAAACCACACUACAAAAAAAUGUUUUAAAAAUGUCCUUUAGGCAGAAGCAAAGGAUGCCAGGUGGAAAUAUGGAUCUGCACAAAAGAAUGAAGAGCAAUGGGAAACUUAACUACAUGGAAAAAGAUGCAUGACAUUUUCUUAUUAUUUAAAUCUCUUUAAAAAGCAGUAAAUGUUUAAUUAAUAAUAAUAUUAUUACUAUUAAAUAAUAGUGUGGGAUUUACAACACAUGAGGAUCAAAAGUUUGAAAACAACUAUAUAAAGGCUGGAAGGGGAGAAAUGGAAGAUUCUUAUCCUGUAUGUGAAGUGGUAUAAUAUUAUUUGAAGAUUGAUAUGAGGGAUAUGUUAAAG
rnacentral:lncRNA from 10 species